rnacentral:snoRNA from 1 species
CCCCUCUCAAGGUUGCACCCGGAGAGUUUCCAGUACUCUACCGUCUCGGCUACAGGAGGGAGAGUCAAUCAGAGGCCUACCCAUUCCAUUCCUAGCUUGGGCUGUGGCUAGCAAGUGGAAGGCAAUCUGCUACAAGU